rnacentral:rRNA from 1 species
AUUGAACGCUGGCGGCAGGCCUAACACAUGCCAGUCGAGCGGAUGAAGGGAGCUUGCUCCUGGAUUCAGCGGCGGACGGGUGAGUAAUGCCUAGGAAUCUGCCUGGUAGUGGGGGAUAACGUCCGGAAACGGGCGCUAAUACCGCAUACGUCCUGAGGGAGAAAGUGGGGGAUCUUCGGACCUCACGCUAUCAGAUGAGCCUAGGUCGGAUUAGCUAGUUGGUGGGGUAAAGGCCUACCAAGGCGACGAUCCGUAACUGGUCUGAGAGGAUGAUCAGUCACACUGGAACUGAGACACGGUCCAGACUCCUACGGGAGGCAGCAGUGGGGAAUAUUGGACAAUGGGCGAAAGCCUGAUCCAGCCAUGCCGCGUGUGUGAAGAAGGUCUUCGGAUUGUAAAGCACUUUAAGUUGGGAGGAAGGGCAGUAAGUUAAUACCUUGCUGUUUUGACGUUACCAUCAGAAUAAGCACCGGCUAACUUCGUG